rnacentral:rRNA from 3 species
CUGGAGGUAUCAGAAGUGCGAAUGCUGACAUAAGUAACGAUAAAGCGGGUGAAAAGCCCGCUCGCCGGAAGACCAAGGGUUCCUGUCCAACGUUAAUCGGGGCAGGGUGAGUCGACCCCUAAGGCGAGGCCGAAAGGCGUAGUCGAUGGGAAACGGGUUAAUAUUCCCGUACUUGGUGUUACUGCGAAGGGGGGACGGAGAAGGCUAUGUUGGCCGGGCGACGGUUGUCCCGGUUUAAGCGUGUAGGUGUGUGUUCCAGGUAAAUCCGGUUCACUUUAACACUGAGGCGUGACGACGAGGCACUACGGUGCUGAAGCAACAAAUGCCCUGCUUCCAGGAAAAGCCUCUAAGCAUCAGGUAACAUCAAAUCGUACCCCAAACCGACACAGGUGGUCAGGUAGAGAAUACCAAGGCGCUUGAGAGAACUCGGGUGAAGGAACUAGGCAAAAUGGUGCCGUAACUUCGGGAGAAGGCACGCUGACACGUAGGUGAAGUGAUUUACUCAUGGAGCUGAAGUCAGUCGAAGAUACCAGCUGGCUGCAACUGUUUAUUAAAAACACAGCACUGUGCAAACACGAAAGUGGACGUAUACGGUGUGACGCCUGCCCGGUGCCGGAAGGUUAAUUGAUGGGGUCAGCGCAAGCGAAGCUCCUGAUCGAAGCCCCGGUAAACGGCGGCCGUAACUAUAACGGUCCUAAGGUAGCGAAAUUCCUUGUCGGGUAAGUUCCGACCUGCACGAAUGGCGUAAUGAUGGCCAGGCUGUCUCCACCCGAGACUCAGUGAAAUUGAACUCGCUGUGAAGAUGCAGUGUACCCGCGGCAAGACGGAAAGACCCCGUGAACCUUUACUAUAGCUUGACACUGAACAUUGAGCCUUGAUGUGUAGGAUAGGUGGGAGGCUUUGAAGUGUGGACGCCAGUCUGCAUGGAGCCGACCUUGAAAUACCACCCUUUAAUGUUU